GUCAGGAUGGCCGAGUGGUCUAACGGCGCUGCGUUCAGGUCGCAGUCUACAUCUGUAGGCGUGGGUUCGAAUCCCACUUCUGACA
rnacentral:tRNA from 1 species